GACGAACGCUGGCGGCGUGCCUAAUACAUGCAAGUUGAGCGCUGAAGGUUGGUACUUGUACCGACUGGAUGAGCAGCGAACGGGUGAGUAACGCGUGGGGAAUCUGCCUUUGAGCGGGGGACAACAUUUGGAAACGUAUGCUAAUACCGCAUAAAAACUUUAAACACAAGUUUUAAGUUUGAAAGAUGCAAUUGCAUCACCCAAAGAUGAUCCCGGGUUGUAUUAGCUAGUUGGUGAGGUAAAGGCUCACCAAGGCGAUGAUACAUAGCCGACCUGAGAGGGUGAUCGGCCACAUUGGGACUUAGACACGGCCCAAACUCCUACGGGAGGCAGCAGUAGGGAAUCUUCGGCAAUGGACGAAAGUCUGACCGAGCAACGCCGCGUGAGUGAAGAAGGUUUUCGGAUCGUAAAACUCUGUUGGUAGAGAAGAACGUUGGUGAGAGUGGAAAGCUCAUCAAGUGACGGUAACUACCCAGAAAGGGACGGCUAACUACGUGCCAGCAGCCGCCGUAA
rnacentral:rRNA from 1 species